rnacentral:rRNA from 1 species
AUUGAACGCUGGCGGCAUGCCUUACACAUGCAAGUCGAACGGCAGCACAGGAGCAAUCCUGGUGGCGAGUGGCGAACGGGUGAGUAAUAUAUCGGAACGUGCCCAGUCGUGGGGGAUAACGUAGCGAAAGCUACGCUAAUACCGCAUACGAUCUAUGGAUGAAAGCGGGGGAUCGCAAGACCUCGCGCGAUUGGAGCGGCCGAUAUCAGAUUAGGUAGUUGGUGAGGUAAAGGCUCACCAAGCCGACGAUCUGUAGCUGGUCUGAGAGGACGACCAGCCACACUGGGACUGAGACACGGCCCAGACUCCUACGGGAGGCAGCAGUGGGGGAAUUUUUGGGACAAUGGGCGCAAGCCUGAUCCAGCAAUGCCGCGUGCAGGAUGAAGGCC